CCUACGGGAGGCAGCAGUAGGGAAUCUUCCACAAUGGACGAAAGUCUGAUGGAGCAACGCCGCGUGAGUGAAGAAGGGUUUCGGCUCGUAAAGCUCUGUUGGUAGUGAAGAAAGAUAGAGGUAGUAACUGGCCUUUAUUUGACGGUAAUUACUUAGAAAGUCACGGCUAAAUACGUGCCAGCAGCCCCGUUAAUACGUAGGGGGCAAGCGGUGGCCGGAUUUAUUGGGCGUAAAGCGAGUGCAGGCGGUUCAGUAAGUCCGAUGGGAAAGCCCUCGGCCCAACCGGAGAAUUGCAUUGGAAACUGUUGAACUGGAGUGCAGAAGAGGAGAGUGGAACUCCAUGUGUAGCGGUGGAAUGCGUAGAUAUAUGGAAGAACACCAGUGGCGAAGGCGGCUCUCUGGUCUGCAACUGACGCUGAGGCUCGAAAGCAUGGGUAGCGAACAGGAUUAGAUACCCGGGUAGUC
rnacentral:rRNA from 1 species